rnacentral:lncRNA from 1 species
GCAACUACAACUAUCUUUCUUGAUGAACAGAGAAGAAUCGAAAUCAACAUCGACAAAACUGGUGGCUCCUCUCUUUCAAACGACGUCUGCUUCCGAAGAAACUCCAGCUCUAUCUUGGACUCUUCUGCCAAUGUGGUCCGACGACUUGACUCCUGCAACUGGUCCAAUUGAGGAAAAAUAUGCAAGCACAGUUCGGCUGCAUUGCCUACACCAUUCUGCCUUACGUUCUCAAUGACUAAAAGAAGAAAAGGUUCGACUUGACGAUGUGAUUUUGGUGGGUUGUUUGUUGUUGUUUGAGUUACCACCAGAGGCUUCACGUCACCAAAAAUGUAUCGCUUUUGGCUCCCGUAGGAUCAUCUCAAAAGCCAAAGCGAUGGGGCAAGAAGAAAAAGAAGAGACAGGAGCAGGUGAAAAGACGCAAAGAAAAGAAAAAAAGAGACAUUUCAUCAAACAGCUGUAAGCGGACAUUUCAUCAAACAGAAAUUAAGCCCAGUGUGGCAGCACCAAUCUUGGGCCAAUCAUGCACAAAAGUCCAGCCCAACCACACAGAGAGAGGAGGAGGAAAUGCCCCGUUGGUCUUAUCAAGACAUGAAGGAGAGCUCUCGUGUCCUGGCACUGCAAUGCCACCCGAUCCCUUACGGAUACUGAAGCCGCA